rnacentral:rRNA from 1 species
CGGCCGCGUCGACGAUCCUGGCUCAGAACGAACGCUGGCGGCAGGCCUAACACAUGCAAGUCGAGCGCCCUUUCGGGGGAGCGGCGGACGGGUGAGUAACGCGUGGGAAUAUGCCCUUCUCUACGGAAUGGCCUCGGGAAACUGAGAGUAAUACCGUAUACGCCCUACGGGGGAAGAUUUAUCGGGGAGGAUUAGCCCGCGUUGGAUUAGGUAGUUGGUGGGGUAAUGGCCUACCAAGCCGACGAUCCAUAGCUGUUUGAGAGGAUGAUCAGCCACACUGGGACUGAGACACGGCCCAGACUCCUACGGGAGGCAGCAGUGGGGAAUCUUGGACAAUGGGCGAAAGCCUGAUCCAGCCAUGCCGCGUGUGUGAAGAAGGUCUUCGGAUUGUAAAGCACUUUAAGUUGGGAGGAAGGGCAGUAAGUUAAUACCUUGCUGUUUUGACGUUACCGACAGAAUAAGCACCGGCUAACUCGUGCCAGCAGCCGCGGUAAUACGAAGGUGGUCGACGCGGCCG